CAAGUUAUAGCUUAAUAGAAAGCUUUUUAUUUACAUUAAAUUGUUCGUCGUGCAAUUCGACGUGAUUUGA
rnacentral:tRNA from 1 species